UGGGCAGAGGGCGGGAGGGCCUACAGAGCCGGCGCAGGCCUCACCAUGGCGACCAGCCCGGCGCCGCGCUUCUGUCACCCCGCUCCUGUCAGUGCACACACCACCACGCCCCUCCCUCCGACGCCGUAUCCACGUUACCUCAGAUUUCCUGCACGCUCUUGAGGCAAACAUCUGCUGUACCCGAGAUGGUCUGCACAUAACACCCGGAGAGUCACUAAGCAUAAAGAUUAAUUCCUCGAUGUCUUGCUGGCCAAAGGUCCAAUUUUUGCUAGUUGGUACACUUUAAACAUUUUCAGGAUGUCUUUUGGAUGACUUGCUAAAGACUGAAGCUGCCAGUGAGGGCACAGAAGUCGUUCAAGAGGUUUUAUCAUCAGACAAGACCUUUUAGCACAAGGGUAAAUAGCAGAUUUUGCUGCCGAGUUCCUUUUUUCUUCUUUGGAUUACUCCCUGCUUCUUUGGUAAUAGUUCCACAAUAAUGGAAUAAAUGUAUGGUGUUGCUAUAUAAAUCAGAAGGUGUCUGUUUGGCCUUUUCUCUUAGCUUAGUGUUUUUAGCAUUAGCAUAUAGGUUGUCUCAUAAGACAAACCAUUUAACUCUAGAAAAUUGGUUGGAGAUUUUUAUACAAUAUAAACAGUACAGCGUGACAGCAAAAAAACCUUGAAUGAUAA